AACCUAGCAUGUCCCAAUAAACUCUAAUAAAUAAUGUCAUCACACUUUCACUUUAUCAUAUUUCACAUAUUAUCUAUCACCAUUAUCAUAUCAAUCGUUGACAUAUAGUAAUAUUUUUAGUUACAUUUUUAAUAGAGCAUUGAAAGAUCUUUCCAACGCAUCCGACAGCGUCUUAUUUCGAGUUACAAAACUCAAAUUAUGUCACAAACAGUGCAGAGAAAAAACACAUAAACCAGUCAGCCGCGCUGAGCGCCAUCAGUGCUGGAAAUUGCACUUGUCAGUGGUCGAAGGCGCGUUGAGUGCCCCCGGGCUGGGCUAAGCGUAAAUACCAGAAAAACCAACUUCCAAAACUGAUACAACUCCUUUUUCUUCAACUUUUAUCCACUAUAUGCCAUAUAUAAUCACCUCUUAACAUACUCAAUCAUCUUAUACCAUGAAUUUCAUCAUUUCCCAACUUUAAAAAACAACAACAUCAUAGUUUCACCAUUUUAUUUGUAACAUGAACAUAAAUUCAAUCCAACAGUAACACAACCACCAACACACCAACAAAUGACACUUAACCAUCAAUAUCAUGGAUUAAUAACAUGAGUCAUGCAAAACCACAAGUAGAACAUGUAUCAACAUCCAAUUCAGACUUAAACAUGUUAUCACACAAAAACCUAAUUCCCAAAUCAUGCAUUUCCCCAAUCCCAUGAUAAGACUACCUAGGAAUUCACCUUAUCACAUGGAGAUGAUCAAGAUUUAUGAAGAAAAUGAGAUAAGAUGAUGGUGUUUCCAUGAUUUUCCUUCUCCUUCCAUGAGUCUUCUUCUUCUUCACUUCUUUCUUUCCUUUUCUCUUAUUU
rnacentral:lncRNA from 1 species